CUCCUGAGGAGAAAGAAAGAGAGGGAGGGAGAGAAAAAGAGAGAGAGAGAAACAAAAAACCAAAGAGAGAGAAAAAAUGAAUUCAUCUAAAUCAUCUGAAACACAAUGCACAGAGAGAGGAUGCUUCUCUUCCCAAAUGUUCUUAUGGACUGUUGCUGGGAUCCCCAUCCUAUUUCUCAGUGCCUGUUUCAUCACCAGAUGUGUUGGUGGGUUCUGAAGUGACAUUUCGCAUCUUUCAAACCUGUGAUGAGAAAAAGUUUCAGCUACCUGAGAAUUUCACAGAGCUCUCCUGCUACAAUUAUGGAUCAGGUAUAAUAGUCCCAAAGGUGAACAUCAAAAUUUACAAAGCAACAUUUUCUGGCUUCUAGAUUGACUUUGGGACAGCUCGUGUCCUCUGUCUCUUGCCUCAGCGCCUGGGUGGCUUGCCGCCCACAUCUAACCCAUCUAUAUACUACAGUAUGGAGAUUUGAUUGAGGAUACAUUGUUUAGGAAUUCCUUUCCUACAAGAAACCUAAAAUGAGAGAGUUUUUUAUUGGACUGUCAGACCAGGUUGUCGAGGGUCAGUGGCAAUGGGUGGACGGCACACCUUUGACAAAGUCUCUGAGCUUCUGGGAUGUAGGGGAGCCCAACAACAUAGCUACCCUGGAGGACUGUGCCACCAUGAGAGACUCUUCAAACCCAAGGCAAAAUUGGAAUGAUGUAACCUGUUUCCUCAAUUAUUUUCGGAUUUGUGAAAUGGUAGGAAUAAAUCCUUUGAACAAAGGAAAAUCUCUUUAAGAACAGAAGGCACAACUCAAAUGUGUAAAGAAGGAAGAGCAAGAACAUGGCCACACCCACCGCCCCACACGAGAAAUUUGUGCGCUGAACUUCAAAGGACUUCAUAAGUAUUUGUUACUCUGAUAUAAA
rnacentral:lncRNA from 1 species